UACAGAGGGUGCGAGCGUUAAUCGGAAUUACUGGGUGUAAAGGGUUCGUAGGCGGUGUGGCAAGUCGGGAGUGAAAUCUCUGGGCUCAACUCAGAGACUGCUUCCGAAACUGCUGUGCUGGAGUGUGGGAGAGGCGCGUGGAAUUGCAGGUGUAGCGGUGAAAUGCGUAGAUAUCUGCAGGAACACCGGUGGCGAAGGCGGCCCUCUGGACGGAUACUGACGCUGAGGCGCGAAAGCGUGGGGAUCAAACAGG
rnacentral:rRNA from 1 species